ACGUAUGAUUAUUUUCUUGGAAUCUCGUUCGUCUGAAAUCCUGUUGAUAAAUUUUAUUAAUGACGUUA